rnacentral:rRNA from 1 species
UACAGAGGGGGCAAGCGUUAUUCGGAAUUAUUGGGCGUAAAGGGCGCGUAGGCGGCUUUGCAAGUGGCGGGUGAAAUCCCUCGGCUUAACCGAGGAACUGCCUGUCAAACUGCAUGGCUUGAGACCAGGAGAGGUGAGUGGAAUUCCCAGUGUAGCGGUGAAAUGCGUAGAUAUUGGGAGGAACACCAGUGGCGAAGGCGGCUCACUGGCCCGAUACUGACGCUGAGGCACGAAAGCGUGGGGAGCAAACAGG